rnacentral:rRNA from 1 species
UGGGGAAUUUUGGACAAUGGGCGCAAGCCUGAUCCAGCCAUUCCGCGUGCAGGAUGAAGGCCCUCGGGUUGUAAACUGCUUUUGUACGGAACGAAACGGCGCCGGCUAAUACCUGGCGCUAAUGACGGUACCGUAAGAAUAAGCACCGGCUAACUACGUGCCAGCAGCCGCGGUAAUACGUAGGGUGCGAGCGUUAAUCGGAAUUACUGGGCGUAAAGCGUGCGCAGGCGGUGAUGUAAGACAGGUGUGAAAUCCCCGGGCUUAACCUGGGAACUGCAUUUGUGACUGCAUCGCUGGAGUGCGGCAGAGGGGGAUGGAAUUCCGCGUGUAGCAGUGAAAUGCGUAGAUAUGCGGAGGAACACCGAUGGCGAAGGCAAUCCCCUGGGCCUGCACUGACGCUCAUGCACGAAAGCGUGGGGAGCAAACAGGAUUAGAUACCCCCGUAGUCCCUGAGCGGGCUGGCAAGGCGCAU